UUGACCUCGAAUCAGGUGGGACUACCCGCUG
rnacentral:rRNA from 1 species